rnacentral:rRNA from 1 species
AUCCAAGGUCAUAUUACCCUGCAGCCCAAGAUCGUUUACUCACUGAAGCUGAGCAGGGCUGAGCCUGGUCAGCACCUGGAUGAGAGACCACAUGAGAAAACUAGGUUGCUGUUGAAA